rnacentral:lncRNA from 1 species
UACAGUUGCUGCCAUGGAAACCAACGCAGUCAAUGUAGCUUCAUCCCUGACGCGUGUGGCACCACUUAGAGCUAUCCAUUUGGCGACGGAUAGUGAGAGGCAGCAGAGAGAAGGAUGCGGAAAACGUUGAGUAAUAAGAUCGCUUUCUCGCCACUAAAUAUAGCUCUUACAAGAAUUGAGAAGGCUUUGCGGGUUCUAGGGGACGUCGCCUUGACUGAUUAGGGCAAGGUACGAUGUUCACCCACUUCACAUAUCCCCGUUUUUGGAGGAUAGGAUGAAACUCUGCCAGUAGAUAAUACAGACAUCUGCCAUGAGGACUACAUUCCCUUUAUUUGGACUUCUUAGUUUCCAGCCUUAAAUUCCUGAGUAGCUCCACGACGAGGAGUGUGUGUGGUUUAUAACGAGUAGUGCUAAGAAUAUUCCAAAGAGGCAACACACCGGCAUAUUAUUACAAGAAGUUACAACAAAGAGGAAGCCAUCUUUUGACGUCACCGUGCUUCAAGGUCAGGAGAGAAAGAGAACGCAGCUCAACUUACAGAAAACAUUUCAAGACGUGAUGUUCCAGUUUAAUUUAGUGUAGUGAUACUUGGAUAAACUUUAGUUUUCUCCAACCGGAACGACAGUAGAUUGCGGAUGGAACAACAGGAAGUUUGUGAUACGUCUA